CGUAGGGCGCAAGCGUUGUCCGGAAUUAUUGGGCGUAAAGAGCUCGUAGGCGGCUUGUCACGUCGGAUGUGAAAGCCCGGGGCUUAACCCCGGGUCUGCAUUCGAUACGGGCUAGCUAGAGUAUGGUAGGGGAGAUCGGAAUUCCUGGUGUAGCGGUGAAAUGCGCAGAUAUCAGGAGGAACACCGGUGGCGAAGGCGGAUCUCUGGGCCAUUACUGACGCUGAGGAGCGAAAGCGUGGGGAGCGAACAGGAUUAGAUACCCUGGUAGUCCACGCCGUAAACGUUGGGAACUAGGUGUUGGCGACAUUCCACGUCGUCGGUGCCGCAGCUAACGCAUUAAGUUCCCCGCCUGGGGAGUACGGCCGCAAGGCUA
rnacentral:rRNA from 1 species